rnacentral:rRNA from 1 species
UACAGAGGUGCCAAGCGUUGUUCGGAUUUACUGGGCGUAAAGGGUGCGUAGGCGGUCGCGCAAGUCGGGCGUGAAAUCCCGGGGCCCAACCCCGGAACGGCGCUCGAAACUGCGCGGCUCGAGGCCUGGAGAGGUGACUGGAAUUCUCGGUGUAGCAGUGAAAUGCGUAGAUAUCGAGAGGAACGCCAGAGGCGAAAGCGGGUCACUGGACAGAGCCUGACGCUGAGGCACGAAAGCCAGGGGAGCAAAC